UACGUAGGGUGCGAGCGUUGUCCGGAAUUAUUGGGCGUAAAGGGCUCGUAGGCGGUUUGUCGCGUCGGGAGUGAAAACACCGGGCUUAACUCGGUGCUUGCUUUCGAUACGGGCAGACUAGAGGCAUGCAGGGGGAGAACGGAAUUCCUGGUGUAGCGGUGAAAUGCGCAGAUAUCAGGAGGAACACCGGUGGCGAAGGCGGGUCUCUGGGCAAUAACUGACGCUGAGGCGCGAAAGCGUGGGGAGCAAACAGG
rnacentral:rRNA from 1 species